AGCAAAAUGAUGAUAUAUUUUGAUCUGAAAUUAGUGUGGAUAACACAUAUGGUCUUCAAAGUUCUCUGAUUGCU